GACGAACGCUGGCGGCGUGCUUAACACAUGCAAGUCGAACGGAAAGGCCCUGCUUCUGUGGGGUGCUCGAGUGGCGAACGGGUGAGUAACACGUGAGUAACCUGCCCUUGACUUUGGGAUAAAUUCAGGCAACUGAGGCUAAUACCGGAUAGGAGCUCCUGCUGCACGGUGGGGGUUGGAAAGUUUCGGCGGGUAGGGAUGGACUCGCGGGUUAUCAGCUUGUUGGUGGGGUAGUGGCUUACCAAGGCUUUGACGGGUAGCCGGCCUGAGAGGGUGACCGGGCACAUUGGGACUGAGAUACGGCCCAGACUCCUACGGGAGGCAGCAGUGGGGAAUAUUGCACAAUGGGCGGAAGCCUGAUGCAGCAACGCCGCGUGCGGGAUAACGGCCUUCGGGUUGUAAACCGCGUUCGCCUGUGACGAAGCGUGAGUGACGGUAAUGGGUAAAGAAGCGCCGGCUAACUACGUG
rnacentral:rRNA from 1 species